rnacentral:rRNA from 1 species
UACAGAGGUCUCAAGCGUUGUUCGGAUUCAUUGGGCGUAAAGGGUGCGUAGGCGGCGCGGUAAGUCGGGUGUGAAAUCUCGGGGCUUAACUCCGAAACUGCAUUCGAUACUGCGUGCUUGAGGACUGGAGAGGAGACUGGAAUUUACGGUGUAGCGGUGAAAUGCGUAGAUAUCGUAAGGAAGACCAGUGGCGAAGGCGGGUCUCUGGACAGUUCCUGACGCUGAGGCACGAAGGUCAGGGGAGCAAACGGGG